AGACGUCUACAUUAGAUACCCGCGUAGUCCCAGCCGUAAACUAUGCGCGUUAGGUGUAUCGGUGACCACGAGUCACCGAGGUGCCGAAGGGAAACCGUGAAACGUGCCGCCUGGGAAGUACGGUCGCAAGGCUGAAACUUAAAGGAAUUGGCGGGGAGCACCACAACGGGUGGAGCCUGCGGUUUAAUUGGACUCAACGCCCGGAAGCUCACCGGAUAAGACAGCGGAAUGAUUGCCGGGCUGAAGACUCUGCAUGACUAGCUG
rnacentral:rRNA from 1 species